rnacentral:rRNA from 1 species
CUACGGGGGGCUGCAGUAGGGAAUCUUCGGCAAUGGACGGAAGUCUGACCGAGCAACGCCGCGUGAGUGAAGAGGGUUUUCGGAUCGUAAAGCUCUGUUGUAAGAGAAGAACGAGUGUGAGAGUGGAAAGUUCACACUGUGACGGUAUCUUACCAGAAAGGGACGGCUAACUACGUGCCAGCAGCCGCGGUAAUACGUAGGUCCCGAGCGUUGUCCGGAUUUAUUGGGCGUAAAGCGAGCGCAGGCGGUUAGAUAAGUCUGAAGUUAAAGGCUGUGGCUUAACCAUAGUACGCUUUGGAAACUGUUUAACUUGAGUGUAGAAGGGGAGAGUGGAAUUCCAUGUGUAGCGGUGAAAUGCGUAGAUAUAUGGAGGAACACCGGUGGCGAAAGCGGCUCUCUGGUCUGUAACUGACGCUGAGGCUCGAAAGCGUGGGGAGCAAACAGGAUUAGAUACCCUCGUAGUC